UGUGUUUACUUCUACAAGUUACAAUAAAAACAAUUCAACAAGCAUACUAAUAAAAUAAUGGUUACAAUUUUUGAAUCUAAAUUUUGGUGGGAAAUAUCCUAUAAAUACUACAUGCCCUGCGGUGAAAUUCCACAAUUACAUUGAAGCCAAGGAAGUCAAGGAGAGGAAAAAUCCCUUCAUUUGGUGAGGACGUAUGCAAUGCCUGAAAGUAAUAAAACGAAAGGAAUCAGGAGUAGAGUGCUUAUUCCAUGAGGUACUCUUUCCAACAAAAUAGACCUGAAAGAACAAAUAUAUCAUGAGCAGUCAGUAGAAACAUGAAUUAGAAAUUUGAGAUGCAACCAGAUAUUUUGAGCUUGAAAGCAAUUAGAGGAUUAGUCUAUUAUAUUGACAUGUAUUAUGUUGAAACACAAAUUAUUAGUUUAGGACAAAGUCCUUUAUCAAUUUAGAUGGUUAGUAUUUGGGUUUUAAAAUUGAAUCAGAACAAAAACAUUUUUUGGAACAAGGAACAAAUUAAUUAUCUAUUGCAUGCUUGAGUAGGCUAUAAAUUACACAGUACUCAAAACA